GUGGAACCAAAGUUUUAAUCAAAGAAGGUGAUGUUCAGUUGCUGCUUACGAUAGUUGAUACCCCAGGAUUUGGAGAUGCAGUGGAUAAUAGUAAUUGACCAUUACAUAACUGAAGACUCCCACCUUCAGGCAGGAUUGGGUAGUACGUGUUUGUAACUACCUGGCAUUGCCUUUUGUUGAGGAAGGGUAGAUGUCUACCCAAAUGGAAUAUUGAGUAUCAGAGACUUCAAAUGAUAACUUUUGUUUGUUUGGAGAAAAUCUUGAGGACGUGAUCACUGUACAAAAGCAUGGCAAAAUGAGGAAACCACUGACAGGUGAAGAAUUUGCACAAUGGAAAACCACCUUGACCAUCUCAUGACUUUAUACAGGAAUCGGAGACAUCCAAGGCCAUUCCAUUUCUAGAUCACACUUAUCCCUCAAUCAAGUCAGUGACUGGAUCAUCUCCUAAGGUUUCACCUGCUUUGCAUCAGUGAGUUGGACUAUGGAUCAGGUACUGUGCUCAGCAUCAGAAAAUGGGAUGACAAUGAACAGAGUAACACGACUAUAUUUCUGAAAAAGGAUGAACUUACUGGAAACAGGAUUGCGUGUGCCUGAAAUAGACCCAAAUGGAUAUAAAUGUCAACUCAGUUCUGGGCUGGAGAUAUAGAUUUGGAAUGCACCAACAAUGCAGAUGGUAAUCCUGGCAUGCGAGUAGGGCUCAAGCACCUCUUACUGCCUCCUCACUCUGGAACCAAAUGCCUUACUGUAAGUGGCAUCUAGAUCUUGCCAGUGACUUUCCUGUACAGGGCCUACAGGAA
rnacentral:lncRNA from 1 species